rnacentral:rRNA from 1 species
GACGAACGCUGGCGGCGUGCUUAACACAUGCAAGUCGAACGGAAAGGUCCUGCUUUUGUGGGGUGCUCGAGUGGCGAACGGGUGAGUAACACGUGAGUAACCUGCCCUUGACUUUGGGAUAACUUCAGGAAACUGGGGCUAAUACCGGAUAGGAGCUCCUGCUGCAUGGUGGGGGUUGGAAAGUUUCGGCGGUUGGGGAUGGACUCGCGGCUUAUCAGCUUGUUGGUGGGGUAGUGGCUUACCAAGGCUUUGACGGGUAGCCGGCCUGAGAGGGUGACCGGCCACAUUGGGACUGAGAUACGGCCCAGACUCCUACGGGAGGCAGCAGUGGGGAAUAUUGCACAAUGGGCGGAAACCUGAUGCAGCAACGCCGCGUGCGGGAUGACGGCCUUCGGGUUGUAAACCGCUUUCGCCUGUGACGAAGCGUGAGUGACGGUAAUGGGUAAAGAAGCACCGGCUAACUACGUG